rnacentral:rRNA from 1 species
GACGAACGCUGGCGGCGUGCCUAAUACAUGCAAGUCGAGCGCAGGAAAUCGACGGAACCCUUCGGGGGGAAGUCGACGGAAUGAGCGGCGGACGGGUGAGUAACACGUAAAGAACCUGCCCUCAGGUCUGGGAUAACCACGAGAAAUCGGGGCUAAUACCGGAUGGGUCAUCGGACCGCAUGGUCCGAGGAUGAAAGGCGCUUCGGCGGCGCCUGGGGAUGGCUUUGCGGUGCAUUAGCUAGUUGGUGGGGUAAUGGCCCACCAAGGCGACGAGGCAUCGCCCACCUGAGAGGGUGGUCGGCCACACUGGGACUGAGACACGGCCCAGACUCCUACGGGAGGCAGCAGUAGGGAAUCUUCCACAAUGGACGAAGGUCGGAUGGAGCAACGCCGCGUGAACGAUGAAGGCCUUCGGGUCGUAAAGUUCUGUUGUAAGGGAAGAACAAGUGCCGCAGGCAAUGGCGGCACCUUGACGGUACCUUGCGAGAAAGCCACGGCUAACUACGUGCCAGCCGCCGCCGUAA